GUUCCAGGUGAGGGGCUGGCCGGGGAGCUCACCUGCCCGGGGGGCGGGGAGGAAGCUAGGGAAAUUCCCUUCCCCAGUCUCCCUAGGCCCUGGCUCCAGCUGUCCCACCCCUGCCCAGCCAGGGCAUCUCUCCCCUCAGCUGGAGCCUGCCGCUUGCAUUAGCAUUUGCUAAAGAGAAGAUCGCACCUUAGCUCUGGCUGCAGCUUUGCAGCCCUGCCCGCCAGCAGCCCCCUACCUGGGAAGGGCAGGAAUAAAGCUCUGCCUCAAGUCUCCCUGUUUCAUCAAUAGGCGGCAGAGUAAGCUAGGCACUACUGGGAAACGCUUAGAAGGGAAGCCAAGAGAGGACUGGAGCCCUACUCGCGUGCACGUUCGCUCGCUCUCUUUUUCGGCGGUUACACGAGAUGUGGCCUGACUUUGUUGGACGUUCCUACUUUACACCUCUGAUGCCUGCUGGAACUAACAAGGACUGUACCGGGGAAAGGAUUGGGCCCAGACUAGUCUGUGAAAGAAGCUUAUUGGAACAUCUCUGAGGAACAAGUACAGGAGGAGAGUAAGCUUCAUCUCAAUGCUCCACCCAUAUGCCUCAACUCGCAGUGGGAGAGGAUCAUUUCCAGAGAAUAAGAAGGCUGAUCAGUCUUCAUGCUCAUUUGGCCUUCGUCCCGUUCCCCUCCACCCAUCAAAAGUGACAACAGCAUUGCUAACAAAUGCAAGUUUUCAUGUGGGGUUUUUGUGCUGUGGACACAUGUCCAGCUGGAAGUGAACUGGGAUCACCAAACUCAUUUCACACAGGCUAAAUAGCCAUCGGAUGGUAAUAACAUUCCCUCACUGUCAUUAUAUACUGAAUUAGAACUGGAAAGCUAGAGGUGAAUGUUUUUAGAUCCUGGGGUCAAUCUCUUGAGUCAUUCAUUGAUCUCAUGUGUAUCUUCUCUUUCAUUUGUCAGAGAGAAUAUGCCCCAUCCUCCACAAUGGGCAUCAUUUCUGUAUAGGGAAAAGUGAACGCAUCAAGUGUCAACUCAGAAUUCACCUGGCAUUCUUCCACUGGGGGAGGGGAGUGGACUCAUAUGUUUCCCACUUACAGAAAAGUUUUGACCCACUGACUUCCAUGGUAUUAUCAUGGAGGAAGGCAAUAUUGAACAUGCGUGAAGGUAUCAGAAUCUGGCAUUUAAUAUGUGAUAUCAAACAUAUGUUAGUAAUAUUGAAUAUUUAAAUCCAAAUUUAAUAUACAGUAUGCAUAUUAGUAUCAAAAUACUGCAUCACAAAAAGUGAAAUGUGGAAAGAUCGCCUUGUGGAUCCUGUUGUAUAUUUUAUUAUAAAACAAUUAUAAUCAUGAAUUUCUGUUUUUAUUAGAGAUAUGUAAGAUUAUACAGUUGUUUUUGAAAUUCAAAAGGUUUUAUUUAUCAUGAAGCCAAAAAUUAAUACAAAUGAUAGUUUGCAUGCUAAAACAGAACUCUGAACUGUGAAACAUCUUGCCCUGUUUAUAUACAUUUGUAAAUUGUAUGCAUUUAU